rnacentral:rRNA from 1 species
AGAGUUUGAUCAUGGCUCAGAUUGAACGCUGGCGGCAUGCCUUACACAUGCAAGUCGAACGGCAGCGCGGGGCAACCUGGCGGCGAGUGGCGAACGGGUGAGUAAUAUAUCGGAACAUACCCUAGAGUGGGGGAUAACGUAGCGAAAGUUACGCUAAUACCGCAUACGCACUAAGGUGGAAAGUGGGGGAUCGCAAGACCUCAUGCUCAUGGAGUGGCCGAUAUCUGAUUAGCUAGUUGGUGAGGUAAAGGCUCACCAAGGCGACGAUCAGUAGCUGGUCUGAGAGGACGACCAGCCACACUAGAACUGAGACACGGUCCAGACUCCUACGGGAGGCAGCAGUGGGGAAUUUUGGACAAUGGGGGCAACCCUGAUCCAGCAAUGCCGCGUGAGUGAAGAAGGCCUUCGGGUUGUAAAGCUCUUUUGUCAGGGAAGAAACGGUGGUCUCUAAUAUAGGCUGCUAAUGACGGUACCUGAAGAAUAAGCACCGGCUAACUACGUGCCAGCAGCCGCGGUAAUACGUAGGGUGCAAGCGUUAAUCGGAAUUACUGGGCGUAAAGCGUGCGCAGGCGGUUAUAUAAGUCAGAUGUGAAAUCCCCGGGCUCAACCUGGGAACUGCAUUUGAGACUGUGUGGCUAGAGUGUGUCAGAGGGGGGUAGAAUUCCACGUGUAGCAGUGAAAUGCGUAGAUAUGUGGAGGAAUACCGAUGGCGAAGGCAGCCCCCUGGGAUAACACUGACGCUCAUGCACGAAAGCGUGGGGAGCAAACAGGAUAGAUACCCUGGUAGUCCACGCCCUAAACGAUGCGAACUGGAUGUUGGGUGCAAUUUGGCACGCGCAGUAUCGAAGCUAACGCGUUAAGUUCGCCGCCUGGGGAGUACGGUCGCAAGACUGAAACUCAAAGGAAUUGACGGGGGCCCGCACAAGCGGUGGAGUAUGUGGUUUAAUUCGAUGCAACGCGAAGAACCUUACCUGGUCUUGACAUGUCGAGAACUUUCCAGAGAUGGAUUGGUGCCUUCGGGAACUCGAACACAGGUGCUGCAUGGCUGUCGUCAGCUCGUGUCGUGAGAUGUUGGGUUAAGUCCCGCAACGAGCGCAACCCUUGUCCUUAGUUGCCAGCACGUAAUGGUGGGAACUCUAAGGAGACCGCCGGUGACAAACCGGAGGAAGGUGGGGAUGACGUCAAGUCAUCAUGGCCCUUACGACCAGGGCUACACACGUACUACAAUGGUAGGGACAGAGGGCUGCAAACCCGCGAGGGCAAGCCAAUCCCAGAAACCCUAUCUCAGUCCGGAUUGGAGUCUGCAACUCGACUCCAUGAAGUCGGAAUCGCUAGUAAUCGCAGAUCAGCAUUGCUGCGGUGAAUACGUUCCCGGGCCUUGUACACACCGCCCGUCACACCAUGGGAGUUUGUUGCACCAGAAGCAGGUAGCUUAACCUUCGGGAGGGCGCUUGCCACGGUGUGGCCGAUGACUGGGGUGAAGUCGUAACAAGGUAGCC